UGACUCCUCUGUUGACGGCGGUGGGGGAGGGGCCGGUCACGUGAUUAGUAGCCCAGCCGUUAAACCGACCAAGCUCGAGCUCACCAGCGCGCGGUGCACAAAAGGCCCCGGAUGAUCGGUUGAGGGCAGAAAUGGCAAAGGAUUUGUGUAUGGGAAUCUCAAACACAACAGCACGUUAGUCCCGCUGUAUCUGUCAGUUCACCAGCGCUUGAAUGCCGCCGAUCCUUGAAUGUGGAGACGGAGAUGCUGGAGAAGACAGCGCCCCACUCGCUACAAGGAGAGCCCGGUCACGUGUCCAUGUCCGUGAUCUGAUUGGAUACAUUGCCAUGACGUUAUAGCAGUGUGACGUCAUUCACCGGCUCUCAUUUUGGAAGGGAUUCAGUGGGACAUCCCAGAUACACCAACAGCUUCUCACUGGGAAGCGGCCGUUCACCUGCUCCGUGUGUGCGAAGAGAUUCAUUCAGUUAACCCACCUUGUGAUGCUCCGGGCUCAGGACGAAGUUGGUUAAACUCCUUCUUCCCUGCUGUUUUGAAUGUUUGGGUCAUUUUCACUCAUUUCAAAGGACUGUGCUUCAGACAGCUGGGUUGUUGCAAUGCACCUCUAAAGUUUGGCAGCAGACUGGCGAGUGAAGCUUUGAAUCUGCAGAGUCAGAAACCAAAGGGUUGCCAGCCUGAGUCAGGGCUCUGGGGCUCAAGAGAGAGAUGGGGUCUGGAGUUUACGAGGAGGAAGAGGAAUGAGACCAGCAUGAUGUGGCAACAAAUGAAAGAUCAGAAACAUUUGGAAACAGCUUCAUCGAAAAAAAAAUGGUUAUUUUUUGCAAAUUACUGGUGGAAAUCAACAGAUCAGGCAGCAAAUGUGGAGAGAAUAAAUAGACAACAUUUAGGCCGAGCCCCUUUCAGCAUGCCUAGACUGUAUACUCCUCUGCUUAGCUGCUGCCUGAACUGCAGAGUUCCUCCAGCAUCUUGUGUCUGUGCGUCUCUGUAUUUCCAGCAACUGCAGAAUCUCGUGUUUCAUAUCUGUAUUUGUAAGAGGAUUGUACUUUGGCAUUAGAUACACGUUGAUAUUGAGUAAAUUGUUUAUGGGAGCCACUUUCUGCGUUAAAACAGCCGCUGAAUUUUCUAUACACACAAAAAAACUGAGAUAUGGACAUGAAACCGGUGUUUGCAGAAACUGUUAAUGGCACCGUGAUUACCCAUAAACCCCUGCGUCUGAAGUUUCGCUGUCGCUGAAGCGCCGAUCAAAUGCGCAGGCGUCUGGGUUGAUGACGUUCGAAUUCACGCAUGCGCACAGUAUACAGAGGGCCUCGGGAGGAUCAGUACAGGUAAGAGGAAAUUUGCGGGCGAUUAUUUGUCAACACCGACUUCGGGACAAUUGCUGUGACUCCGGACACCGUGACCCGCAAUCCCGGGACAGUCCUGCUCUCUUCCCUCUCUCUCAGCCCCACCAUCCGUACACGGGCCCCGGGGAGCUUCCGGCUGAUGAGGGAAUGGGAACCGAUGGAUCUCUCAGACAGAGCUGAGCUCCAGCUGUCUAAAUGCAAGGAUCGGGAACUCGGAGAAAGGGAACAAAAUCUUUUACAUCAGCUGUUGAGAAAAUCACCUUUGUUCUGCCUCCAGUCACAAACAAGAGAAAAUCUGCAGAUGCUG